rnacentral:misc_RNA from 1 species
AAAUGAUGUUAAUUCUUCUGAUGAUGAACCUGCGGGGAGGAGGGAUCCAAGUGACAGUGAAGAUGCACAUACUGAGCAGAAGAAACUUGAGAUUGAAUUGAGGAAGAAGGCUCUUGAAUCACUUAAAGCAAAGAAGGGCAUUAGUCACUAAUUUAUUGCUGUCGUGAACAUUACUGUUUUAUUCUAGUUAAGCUGUUUUUUAUAUAUUUGCUAGGAACUUUGUUUUGAAUGGGAGUUCUUUUAUAUUGGUAACUGUUUAAUGUAGCCUGUUUGCUGCUGGCAGCUGAAAUGGAUAAAUGAGGGUUUCCUGAGCUAUUCUCUUAAGUGCAACUUUAUGCAGAUCUUGCUGCUAUAUUUUCUG